UACGGGGGGUGCGAGCGUUGUCCGGAAUCACUGGGCGUAAAGGGCGCGUAGGUGGCGUCGUAAGUCUGUGGUGAAAGCCCGGAGCUCAACUCCGGGUCUGCCGCGGAUACUGCGAGGCUUGAGUGCUGUAGAGGGGGGUAGAAUGCCGGGUGUAGCGGUGGAAUGCGUAGAGAUCCGGCAGAAGACCGGUGGCGAAGGCGGCCCCCUGGGCAGUAACUGACACUGAGGCGCGACAGCGUGGGGAGCAAACGGG
rnacentral:rRNA from 1 species